GGGUGAUUGGUUGUCUGAAUGCUCUUCGUACAAUCCAAGUGAACAAAAAUGAUUCUUUGGCUAUAUUUGACCUGUGCAGUAGCAGUUCUCAAAGGGGCCCAGUCUCAAAUCCGGUUGGUGGAGUCUGGAGGGGAUGUGAAACGGCCUGGCGAGUCUCUCCGUCUAUCCUGCAGAGCCUCCGGCAUCAAUUUGAUUGACUAUUCCAUGGGCUGGGUGAGACAGGCUCCAGGGAAAGGUCUGGAAUGGAUUUCCCAUAUCGAUCCAAAUUCAUCUAGCAUUAAGUACUCGGACAAAGUCAAGGGGCGCUUCACCAUCUCCAGGGACAAUGACAACAAUCAGCUGUAUCUGCAGAUGAAUGGCUUCAAAGAAGAGGACAGCGCACACUAUUAUUGUGCGAGUUACACAGCGAGAGGAAGUGAAUCUGAUGCCCAGCAAAAACCCAGAAAUAGGAGCCUCUCUCUUUCCUCUUAAGAAAGAAGCCUACAGAUCAACCUAUUGAUGGGAAACCAGCGACAUUUUCACUAGAAAAUAUACUAAAGAAAUAAAAUAGCAGUGACUGUGAGAGGGAUCUUGGAGUCUUGGUGGACAACCAGUUAAAUAUGAGCCAGCAGUGUGCAGCGACAGCCAAAAAAAGCCAGUGCAAUCCUAAAUUGCAUUAGCAGAGGGAUACAAUCAAGAUCA